UGCAAGUCGACGGUAACAGGCCCUUCGGGGUGCUGACGAGUGGCGGACGGGUGAGUAACGCGUAGGAAUUUGCCCAGUAGUGGGGGACAACUUGGGGAAACCCAAGCUAAUACCGCAUACGCCCUACGGGGGAAAGCGGGGGAUCUUCGGACCUCGCGCUAUUGGAUGAGCCUGCGUCGGAUUAGCUAGUUGGUAGGGUAAAGGCCUACCAAGGGCGACGAUCCGUAGCUGGUUUGAGAGAACGAUCAGCCACACUGGGGACUGAGACACGGCCCAGACUCCUACGGGGAGGGAGCAGUGGGGAAUAUUGCACAAUGGGGGGCAACCCUGAUGCCAGCAAUGCCCCGUGGGGGAAAAAAGGCCUGCGGGGUUGUAAAACACUUUCAAUUGGGAAGAAAAAGGUAGGGGCAAUACCCCUGAUUCUUGGCGUUACCUUUAGAAAAAAGACCGGCUAACUCCGUGCCAGCAGCCGCGGGUAAUACG
rnacentral:rRNA from 1 species